UCCUGACAAAUUGGGAAGACAUGAGGAACAGGUAUAGGGCGGGGCAAACACGUGAUAACGUAACAAAAACAAAGACACGUGACCCAGGAAAAACAAAGCCUGCCAGAAAGUCUUCCUGGUGUUCAGGCAUGGCAUUUUCCAAACCAUCCAUGACAGAAUUCCAAACAAUACAUCUGACUAAAAGAGUUACUGCUCAUCAGCUGGCUAAUACCAUCCCUUUUAUGUAGUAUGGUGGUGCCAGCAUACUCAGAGGGUCUCCAUGUCAGGGAUGGGGAGAAUGGACACAAUUGGAGGAAGGAUAAAUACUGGAUGUUCACGAAGCCUGGAAGAGAACAGUGUGUUAAUGCAAACCGGAUUACUGCAACGCACUGCUGUCAGGUCUACCUAUGGAUGCAAUUCGUCCUCUGCAAAUGAUCCAAAAUGCGGCUGCAUGGCUCCCUCUUACCUCAAAGCCCUCAUCACUCCCCGCACUGCACCCUACACCCUCU